GAAAGCCAGACCGCCUAGAAAAAAAAACACCUUUACCAUCACCUUUGUUUUCAUUCAAAGCCGCACAGCAUGGGUGCUAAUAUAGCUGCAGCAGGAAUCCAGAGAGGUGGGACACUUCUAAACGAGUUGUCCAAGCUCUCUCUCCAAUAAACUUUGGGAAAUGAGUAGCUCCGAAGAAAGAUUGAUCCUUCCUGCAUGAGACACCUCUCUGAGGCAGACUGCGUUCUGAAGGUACUGGGGUCGCUCCCUCAGCUGACGGGCAAGAGGCUCUGUACUGGAUCCGUUCAGCCAGCUGAGGUCUGUGGAGUUGUACCUCUUGCCUAGUGACAGAACCUGAGCCUGGUUAGCGUUCUGACUGAUGGCUUGGUCACAGACAGGGACUGCGGGUCACAACUCCUGAGACAACAGCUGAUGCAACACUCCCAACCCCUCAGGACAGGGAGCACGUCUGUGGGCCGCUCCUCUUGUCAGCUCCUGAGCAGCAGGAAGGAAAUGCAUUACUGACAACAACUAGCUUUUGCUUCAAGAUUUCAAGGAUUAAAAUAAAUCUAAGGUCCUUGGACAACUGAAAUAUCAAUCAGUUUAAUUUGCCAUCCAAGAAUCUGCGCUUCCACAGGGAGAUUUGGUGGUGACUACUCUGCUGAAGCUUGAGAACCACUGGACAGAGGUGAUGGGCAGCUCCCCAUCUGGACAUCACCCUGCAGCCAUUGAGGCUGCUGGCUGGGUGGGAAGUCUCAUCCUUGGAGG